rnacentral:rRNA from 1 species
GCAGCCGCCGCGGUAAUACAGAGGGUGCGAGCGUUAAUCGGAUUUACUGGGCGUAAAGCGUGCGUAGGCGGCUUCUUAAGUCGGAUGUGAAAUCCCUGAGCUUAACUUAGGAAUUGCAUUCGAUACUGGGAAGCUAGAGUAUGGGAGAGGAUGGUAGAAUUCCAGGUGUAGCGGUGAAAUGCGUAGAGAUCUGGAGGAAUACCGAUGGCGAAGGCAGCCAUCUGGCCUAAUACUGACGCUGAGGUACGAAAGCAUGGGGAGCAAACAGGAUUAGAUACCCCAGUAGUCCCUGUCUCUUAUAA